GACAAGGCUAAGAAGCAGUCAGUAGGCUGAACCAGCUGUGACAGAAUGGCCUUUUUACUAACAGCAGUCUUGGUUUUCCAGACUUUACUGGGAAAUGCUGCUGGAGAAGGAUGGGAAUCAUAUCUCAAUUUUUCCCUUUGGAACCACACAUUUUAUUUCUAUGACAAUUACACAGAUGACUAUCCUCUAGAAAACGCCACAGAUUUUUAUUAUCCAGAAUACGUCACAAGUUAUUAUCGUGAAUUUGAAACUUUGUUUGAAAAGAAUUUGACAGAGUCUGCAGGAUCAUCACUCCAUGGCCAUCUUCCCUUCUUCUUUGUCCUUCUCCAUCUUCUAUGUUUUUUGCUACAACAAUUCACACUUCUUUUGUAGAAGAUGUGAACAGCUUUGCUUUGAAUUAGAACAUUCCUCAAGGAGGAAAAUAAAGAACUCUGUCACAUAUGUAAAUUACUUCCCCUACAAUGAAUCAGUCAUCUUUUUUUAGUGCAGUUUAUGUAUUUAUGUAGAAACACAAACAAAUAUAACAGCUAUGUUUCCUCAUAGGUAGUAUAAAUUGCAUGAAUGUUGACUAGCUGUUUGUAUCUUCUGUAUUUCUUCCUCUCACAUUUCCUCACUAUCAUUCACUGGGUCCUAUUGUAAAUAAGAAAUAUGUGCCAACAAAAUGAAGCACUGGCUGAUCACUCCAGAUCUUUUAGUGCUAUCUGAUGUUCUGACAUCACUGGAUCAGCUGCUGCUGUUUCCCUGGAAUGCAAGCCCUUGGAUCUGCUCUUCAAUAGUUUCAGCUGCAUCCAGAAAAAGUCUGCCUUAUAGCUGUUGAAACAAACACAAUAUAAAGGGAGCAAGUGUACUUACCGGUUCACCUCCCCUAAAACAAUCACCAUUACAUUUAAAAUGGAUGCUGCCUGCUAGCCAUGUUUAUGUCCGUGUUCCUGUUCACUCUAGACAGAGUUUCAGGUCUCUGCCUUCCAAUGACCAUAGAUCCUGCAAACUCUCUCACAUGAAUAGUCCUGUAAGUAGAUAUGUCAGGAAGAGAGGAGGCUCAGAUACAGAUGACAAAUGGUUAGAUACUUCUGUAUGAGGAAAGACUGAAAAAAGUGGGACUGCUUUGGAGAGGAGAAGAAUAAGAAAGGACAUGAUUGAGACAUACAAA